UAUGGAGUAAGGUUCAAGUAAGAACGUAUGAUAGUAUAAAAGAGCAAGUCGGUCGUGGUGUGCCGAGACCGACGAUACGGUAGCCCUGUAAAUAAAGAGGGCCCACCAAGGAGUAAGAAAAGUAAAGAAAUAGAAAGAAAAAGAAAAGUGUUGAGAAUGAGGAGUGGGUGGGAGGGUCAUUCAGAAGCUGACCUCAAGCAGGAUGGAGUCAGGUAAGGGGUGUACCCUAUAUAGGUAAGUGAAUUAACUUAAGC